rnacentral:rRNA from 1 species
GACGAACGCUGGCGGCGUGCCUAAUACAUGCAAGUCGAACGCAGUUGGGACGGGUGAGUAACACGUUGGUAACCUCCCAUCAGAGGGGAUAACACUUGGCAACAGGUGCUAAACCGAUACUGAUUGAUGGACCCGCGGUGCAUUAGCUAGUUGGUGAGGUAACGGCUCACCAAGGCCACGAUGCAUAGCCGGCCUGAGAGGGUGAUCAGCCACACUGGGACUGAGACACGGCCCAGACGCCUACGGGAGGCAGCAGUAGGGAAUCUUGGGCAAUGGACGAAAGUCUGACCGAGCAACGCCGCGUGAGUGAAGAAGGUCUUCGGAUCGUAAAACUCUGUUGGUAGAGAAGCGGUAUCAAAACAGAAAGCAACGGCUAACUACGUGCCAGCAGCCGCGGUAAUAC